AUUGAACGCUGGCGGCAUGCUUUACACAUGCAAGUCGAACGGUAACAGGGAGCUUGCUCCGCUGACGAGUGGCGAACGGGUGAGUAAUGCGUCGGAACGUGCCGAGUAGUGGGGGAUAACGCAGCGAAAGUUGUGCUAAUACCGCAUACGUACUGAGGUAGAAAGUGGGGGACCUUCGGGCCUUACGCUAUUCGAGCGGCCGACGUCUGAUUAGCUAGUAGGUGAGGUAAAGGCUCACCUAGGCGACGAUCAGUAGCGGGUCUGCGAGGAUGAUCCGCCACACUGGGACUGAGACACGGCCCAGACUCCUACGGGAGGCAGCAGUGGGGAAUUUUGGACAAUGGGCGAAAGCCUGAUCCAGCCAUGCCGCGUGUCUGAAGAAGGCCUUCGGGUUGUAAAGGACUUUUGUCGGGGAGGAAAUCCCCAGCGCUAAUACCGCUGGGGGAUGACAGUACCUGAAGAAUAAGCACCGGCUAACUACGUGCCAGCCGCCGCAGUAAUAC
rnacentral:rRNA from 1 species